UUCCGGAACGGAUUUCGAUCCGGCCGUUGCCUCCCUACACGAAAGCGGUGCCGGGGUCAUCGAGUUCCGGAUCUGUGGUUUGUAGGCCUAGUCACGAGUGCAGGUGGGGAGGCGAUACGGCAAACGACAGCAAUAGAAAAAAAUAUGAUAACGAGAAUAUGUUGGCAAUUGAUGCCGAAACGG
rnacentral:sRNA from 16 species